rnacentral:rRNA from 1 species
GAUUGCAGGCUGCAACCCGCCCUGCAUGAAGUCGGAAUUGCUAGUAAUCGCGGAUCAGCAUGCCGCGGUGAAUACGUUCCCGGGCCUUGUACACACCGCCCGUCACACCAUGAGAGUCGGGAACACCCGAAGUCCGUAGCCUAACCGCAAGGGGGGCGCGGCCGAAGGUGGGUUCGAUAAUUGGGGUGAAGUCGUAACAAGGUAUC